rnacentral:rRNA from 1 species
UCGAGAAUUUUUCACAAUGGGCGAAAGCCUGAUGGAGCGACGCCGCGUGGGGGAUGAAUGGCUUCGGCCCGUAAACCCCUGUCAUUCGCGAGCAAACGUUAUUAUUUAAAAGAUGAUAGCCUGAUAGUAGCGAAAGAGGAAGGGACGGCUAACUCUGUGCCAGCAGCCGCGGUAAUACAGAGGUCCCAAGCGUUGUUCGGAUUUACUGGGCGUAAAGGGUGCGUAGGUGGUGGGGUAAGUCGGAUGCGAAAUCUCCGAGCUCAACUCGGAAAGUGCAUUGGAAACUACCCUGCUCGAGGGUUGGAGGGGGGGCUGGAAUACUUGGUGUAGCAGUGAAAUGCGUAGAUAUCCAGUGGAACACCAGUGGCGAAGGCGAGUCCCUGGACAACUCCUGACACUGAGGCACGAAAGCUAGGGGAGCAAACAG